AACGAACGCUGGCGGCAGGCUUAACACAUGCAAGUAGAGCGCCCCGCAAGGGGAGCGGCAGACGGGUGAGUAACGCGUGGGAAUCUACCCAUCUCUACGGAAUAACGCAUGGAAACGUGUGCUAAUACCGUAUACGUCCUUCGGGAGAAAGAUUUAUCGGAGAUGGAUGAGCCCGCGUUGGAUUAGCUAGUUGGUGGGGUAAAGGCCUACCAAGGCGACGAUCCAUAGCUGGUCUGAGAGGAUGAUCAGCCACACUGGGACUGAGACACGGCCCAGACUCCUACGGGAGGCAGCAGUGGGGAAUAUUGGACAAUGGGCGCAAGCCUGUUCCAGCCAUGCCGCGUGAGUGAUGAAGGCCCUAGGGCUGUAAAGCUCUUUCACCGGUGAAGAUAAUGACGGUAACCGGAGAAGAAGCCCCGGCUAACUUCGUGCCAGCCGCCGCCGUAAUAC
rnacentral:rRNA from 1 species